CAAGAGCGUAUAUUAAAGUUGUUGCAGUUAAAAAGCUCGUAGUUGGAUUUCUGGUACAAUGCGCCUGGCCCGCGGCAGUAAUGCCUGUGUGUGCCGGUGCGCGUUUGCCAUCCUUCUAGAAAACGUUUCUACCCUUUACUGGGCCGGACUCGCGAUCUAGAUCUUUUACUUUGAAAAAAUUAGAGUGUUCAAGGCAGGCUUUUGCCGUUGAAUACAUUAGCAUGGAAUAAUAAGAUAGGACUUUGGUGGUCUAUUUUGUUGGUUUGCACACCAAGGUAAUGAUUAAUAGGGACAGUUGGGGGUAUCCGUAUUUCGUAGUCAGAGGUGAAAUUCUUGGAUUUACGAAAGACGAACUACUGCGAAAGCAUUUACCAAGGAUGUUUUCAUUAAUCAAGAACGAAAGUUAGGGGAUCGAAGACGAUCAGAUACCAU
rnacentral:rRNA from 1 species